GACCCCCAGUAACAUUAAAAAAAGUUGCAAGGAUUUAGUGAAGUAAAGAGUAAGGUGCCAUUCAGCCCUCCAGUUUGCUUUCAGCUAGGAACUAAACAAGGAUGGGAACUAUUUGGUUUAAUAAAUCUGGAUGGAGAUGGAAUAAUAGGUAUAGAUAUAUUGAAAAACUUUAAAUUAAUAUUAGAUUUGGUAAAUAAAGUAUGAGAAAUAAAACAAAGGUCUUAGACCACCCAGUUGUUAUUGAAGCAGGAUACAGGUUAGCUACCCUUAAGGCUGCUGAGGAAAUAGAAUGGCCCAACUAGCCAGCAGAAGUAGUAGAAAUUGCAAAGAAACAUAAAGAAGUUUGGGCCACCAAUAAAAUAGAAUGUGGGAAAAUUAACUCAGAAGUUUUAAUUACUGGACCUGAUCCCCCACCCCAAAAGCAGUAUAAGUAUCCCAAAGAAGCAGAACCUAGUCUAAUGAAAACUAUUCAAGGGCUCUUGGAGCAAAGAGUCAUAAUAGAACAACAAAGUACAAAUAAUGAAGCCAUUUGGUCAGUUCUAAAAGCAGAUGGUAAACCUGGAGGGUUAACUAUUGAUUUCAAACCACUCAACAAAGUAACUCCAAUGACUGCUCCAGUGGUAGCUAAAUAUCCAGAAGUAAUAGCCUCUAUUAUGGAAGGUUUACAUAAUAAGCCCAGUGGUUUACAGUUCUAGAUUUGGCAAAUAUGUUCUUUGCUAUACCUUUACAUCAACAUUCUUGCUAUAAAUUUGCAUUUACAUUUCAAAGACAGCAGUAUGUAUUCACCAGAACUCCAUAGGGUUUCCAUAAUAGUCCUGCUGUUGUCAUAUGCAUGUGAUUAAGAUUGGACCAAUCUUACAGCCACAAGAGUGGCAAAUAGGUGAUAUGGUUAUGUAUAGAUGAGUUAAAGAAAAGGGUCAUGUGCUUAGUCCAACAUGGAUAGGACCAGUAAGAAUAGUUAAUAAAGCUAGUCCAUUGGUAUAUCAAUUAGAGAUCCAAAAAGGAAAAAGAAAAGUGUCAAAAUGGUUCUAUUCAUCACAAUUGAAAAGGUGAAAGGGAGAAUCAAAAUAGUAAUAAUCUCUCUCUUAUAGGAAAAGAAAAGAAUGGAAUAAAAAAAAUGCAACAGGAAGGAAUGCAAAAAGAAGUAUGGGAUGAAAGAGUCUGGUAUGAAUUUCCAGAAUUCCCAGAACAAGACCUCAAUGACUUAUUUGAAAGUGUACCAGUUAUAGAAACUAUUAACUCCAAAUCCAAUAAUAGAACAAUAGCACUGAUAAGUCAGGUGAUGGAACAAUCACCCCAAGUUAUAACAUAAUUGUGGAAAGACCAACAUGGAAGGCCAAUAAUAGUCAUAAAUAUAGACAAAGGAAAAAUUCAACAAUUAUAUUACUUAGACACAGGAUCUACCUAUUCAGUGUUAAAUAAUACAGUAUAUAUAAUACAACAGACUUUCUCUCAUAUACUUCUCCAGAAAGAGCAGAAAUACAGGGAAUAAGAAGAAAAUUCUACUGAGUGUUCCACUCAUAGUUGGCAUAAGAAAUAAAGAAGUAAAGAAUGUGCAUUUUGGAAUAAUGAAACUUGGGGUAAAUGGACUUUGAAUAGUAGGGGUAGAUAUUCUCAAAGUGUUGCAAUACUCAAUAGAUCUUGUAAAAAAACCAUUCAAUGGGCAAUAGAGUAAUGUAAGAAUAAGUUUUUUUUAAAAGGGGAAAUGUGUGUAAAAUAAAAAUAAAAUGUGUGUGGAAUUUUUUGUUUAAUUAUUAAAUUUAAUAGAGAACGAGAGAAAGACAGAAAAAGAAAGGAGAGAGUGAGAAAGAAAAGGAAGCCUGGCAGGAGAGUGGUUUGAGGACCUCCUGGAAUCAAAUGAACAAUAAAUAUUAAAUUAAUAAUUGUCAUUAUGACAUAUUUAUUAAUUAAAUAAUUAAUAAAUAUGUCAUAGAAGAAGAGGAUAGUGGUAUAGAUAAACAGCCAGAAGAGGAUGAGGAGGUGCCAGCUAUGGUUAUAACCCAGCUGUUUUUCAACCCAUCUGGAAGACCUUAACCCAAUAAGAGUUAAUCCAGCAGAGGCAGAAAUGCUCUGUUACCUAGAUAAGGGGUCUAACAUUCCAAUUUUAAACAUAGCGAUAGACUUUGACCUUUUGCAGUAUGCCUCGGAUUAUAUAUAUAUAUAUAUAUAUAUAUAUAUAUAUAUAUAUAUAUAUGAUUAUGGGAGCAUUAGGAGGACAGACCCCAAUUUCCCUGACCAGACCAAUAUCAAUUAAGGUAAGAUUUUGACAAUUGAGUGAUGGUCCAGAAGGACACAGUCAUAUGGAAUAAUCAGCAUGGAUAUUAUAGGAAUGUUGGAUUGUCUGAUUGAUGUGUGGAAUAAAAUAUUAUGGGAUACCAAUUAAAAGGAAAAAAAUUGUUGUUAAAAUAGGUAGUCAAAGUAUUACUGUAUUAAAAUAGUUGGUUAGUUUAUGUAAUAGUAAUAGUUUAAUAAUAAUUAAAAAUAGGUAAAAUAGUAUAAGAUAUAUGUUAUAUAUAUUUUUCAUAAAGUUAAUGGUUAAUUAAGUAAAUACAUACUUUUUAUAAGGAAAAGGGGUCUUUUGUUAUUCCUGUCUUCCAGACAAGAAAAGCCAGAUGGUGGAAGAUGCAAUUCUAUUCAUCCUGGCUCUUCUGGAUAUUUAUAGCUACUGGAUUCUGCUAAUGGUAGUGUGAAUUUGGAUGUGAAGAAAUAAAAAAUGAUGAUUCAGUGGACCAAGUCCAAUCAAACGGCUAUUGCUAAUAGUAAUGUGGGGUGUUUUCUUAUAAUUCCAGAAAUAAGUGCUAAACUCAGAAUAGUAAAAGUUGUAGUGGGACCUAUAAGGGUUAUAAAUUUUAUUGCACAAAAUCACUUUGGCAAAAUGUUUAUUACAGAAGAUGCUCGUAAAUGUUUUAUUAUAUUCUCCUCUCUAGGUAAGGGAACCUUAGGAACCUCACCAGAGUCAACAAAAUGUGAAUUGGCAGCUGAAGAAGGAAAAGGUGCAAUAUAGGGAAAAGCAGAAAGAACCGGACAAUGGCAAAGCACGCUAAUAGACAAGUUUGAAAUAUUUGCACGUUCCAAUAGUCUCUUGGUAGCACUAGAAAGAAUAACUAGUACCCCUUCUGUAAUUAAAAUACCAACAAAUAGCAUCCAGACAAAAGAAAAGAAAAAUAAUAUUAUAAUGAUGUGUGAAUGGUCUUCAGACAAUAAGAAGAAAUGGAGUUUAAUACAUGAAGCCAAAAUAUUAAAUAUGAAAGAGGACCAUACCCGAUGGAUAAACCCAUCUAAUCCAUGGGAUAAAGGGUAAAUUAUCUAAAUUUCUGUCAUAUUAAUUGGACAAAAAUAUAAAUGGAUUUGGGUAAACAAGGAAGAAACAUGGGCACAUGUGUCAAUGACAUAUUGACUACAACAAAUAUGACAAUUGUAAAUGAUGGCCCAGGAAAAGAUAAACCUAUGCUGUGGUACAAAGGGGAAGGGGUUUGUAUAUGGAAUGACACAGGAAGAAGCAAUUGUACACAAGUUUUAGGAAGAAGCUUUUCAUGUGCCUUCAUAGCAUGGCAUGCCCCCAAAUGGACAAAAGAUGAUAAAGAAUUAAUAUUAUUAAAAUGGGUUCAUAACAAUGCUAGGAUAAAAGAUGCUUCAUUUAAUGUCAUGAGCCACAGGGAGGAGUUAGCAGAAUAAACAUCAGUGUGAAGUAUGACCAAAAGUUAUAUUUAGAAAUUAAUUAAGCCUGCAAGUACCCUGGUAUGAACAAAUGAUAGGAGGUAGUGAAUGUAAGGGAAACAGUUCAGGACAAAUUUUGUUUGUCUAUUGGGGUGACAGUAGUGUAAUUAUAACAAAACAAUGUGAAAGUGGAAUAUGGAGAAUUACUGGCCCUAAUUUCAAUUAUACUUUUACUAUUCUAUGGAUAUUCAAGCCUAAACAAAUCCACAUUGGUCCUUAUGUAAUAAAGGAGGAGGUUAAAAGACAAUAAUAGACACCGCUUAUUCUUUAAAAAAGGUAAUAGUGAAUUUAGCCUCUAUGAAUAUUUCAUCCACACAGCCACAAUGUAUUAAAUAUGUUGAACCUCAAUAGAUACAGCGCUAGUAGGAGCAGGCACAGAACUUGGAGUACUAAACGGUAUAGAUGUACAGGUGUUGGCUAACAAGUUAAGUGUAGUAGGACAGCACCGACGAGCUUUGUCCAAGCUUUAAAAACAUCUUUAAAUGACAUAAGCACCAGUCAUUUUCUAAUAGCUAGCCUACUCUCUAGCUGGGAAAAAUUACAAAAAGCUGAUCAUUUAACCAUACUACAUACAGUAGAGGUAUUGCAAAGCAAUUUAUCCAUGGCAUUGGCUUUCAUACAAGGACAGAUUUGGACUAAUGACGUGGUAAAAGAUAUUUUAAGAGAUGGAAUGAGUGGAAUCUUACCUUUAGAAAUAAGAAGUAUAGUACAGAAACAUGCCACUAAGGCUGAACAAAAUUAAUAUUCCUUGUGGAAGAUGGUGAAUUUCACAUACAAUCCUCAACUAAAACAAAUUACCACAUUCAUAGUCAUAAUGUCUAAUGCCCAAAUUGAAUGGAUAUCUCCUAUUGUAGCGCUAGGGUUAAAUGUUAAUAACAGCAUAAUGCAAUUUAUAGAACACAAAUUAUGGGCCAUAAGGCAAAACUUUAUAUGCAAAACUGUGGAACUUGAAGCUUGUAUGGAAGAACAUGGAAUUGGAUAAAAUUGCAAUAGUAAUGUAAUCCAGCCAUAUGAUGUAUGUUUAAAUGAUGAAAGGAGAAAGUCAUUGUCAGUUAGACCCUUUCCCAUUUAAUGGAUCAGUUGUAUAUAUUGGAAAUAAAUGUGUAUGUGUUAGAAGUU